AUGUGUUAUAUGGAGGGGCAAGUGCUAUAUUGAGAUCAGCAUUAUAAGUAUUACAUGGUGCAUUAUUUAUGAAGUAUUAUACAAAGGGGAUUGUUAUUUGGAGGAAGCAUUUUAUUGAGGUGCACGCAUAAUAUGGAGGGAUAGGCAAUAUAUUUAUAUGGGUGUUACGGUGAUGAUAAAUUAGAGACAUAAUUGACAGUUAUGGUCUUUUUUUUAUUUUAAUGAUAGAGAUUGAAUUGAAACAUGGAGAGACCUUGUUUUCUGUUGGGAGUGAAGCUUUCUGUCUCAGUUCUUUAUAGGACUGUAAAAUGUGAAACUUUUAAAAUUUAUAUUAUCUUAGCAUGCACUGCCAGAGAAUUUAUUCUGUGCUACUGAGAUUGCAUGAAGGCAAUUAUAAGGGAGUUAUUAUAUAAACAGGGUGUUAUAUGGAUCUGUGCAGACACCAUAUGGAGGACAGUUAUAUUGGAGAGGGUGUCAUAUAGAGAGGGCGAGGGUUACAAGGAGGUUGGCAUUAUAUGAAGUUGCAGGGUUUAUAGGGAGGAGUGAGUGUUAUGUUGAGGUGAGCAUUACAAGAACGAUAAUUUACAGAAUGAUGCUUUAUAAGUAUAUGAAACUGUUGAGACAUUAUCUGGCUUGCAGAAUGAUUAUGAUCAGUUAUCUAGACUAAUACAGUGUCAUACAUAUGGACAGUGUAAUACUUCUGUAAAUUAUCCUCCAUGUAGUGCCCACCAUGUAAUGCCUGCACCAUUGUAUAAUGUCUUUCUUCCCUAAAAUGUUCACAGACUCUAUAUAAUACACUCUUCAAUGAAUCACAGCCUCUGUUCUUUUGCCUGGAUUAUUGGUUUCCUAGAUCUGAGGGAGUUCAAGAAGCUUGAUUCCACCACAUUUCAUUUUGUUCACCAAGGCUUUGAUUACUCUUCUGCUUAACAAUUGCUUUUAACCUUCAUGUGCCGUGGAGAUCAGACAAAAAGUUGCCCAGAAAAUGCAUCAUCAGUGACAUCACCACCUGACACCGCUCACAUCUGUGAGGGAUGCGCUGAGAUGCGCUUAAACUCAUGGGACGUAGAGGGUGCUGUUGGACUGAGCAUCUCGCAGUGGUCUGAGCACACCGCUGGGAAGAUCGUGCCUUGUCCAUAUGUUUUUCCUGGGCCUCAUGCAGCUGAAACUCAGGAUAUUACUAUCAUUUGCUAAAAGGAAAUACGACUAGAAAUUAUAAUUCACUUUCAGCCUUGUAAAUAUGAGGAUGAGAUGAUGGCAGUGUCAGUUUUAACAGCAGUCCCAUUUCUAUUUCAUAAGCCCAAAAAGCAAAACACUGAUUUCACUGCCUGAUACACACUGAAAAUUUUAAGCAAUUGUUAAGUAUCUGUAGAUAGAAAUUAUGCUGAUUUUCUCAUUUCUAAUGCUCAUUUUCUGCAUCUAUCAAAGCUAGCACCACUUAAAUAUAAGUACUUUUUUUAACAGGAAACUCUAAGUAAAUUCCUUUAAAUUGAUUCUGAGCUGCUAGGAUGAGAGAUUAAAUUCUCCCUGUGCAUCCUGCUUUAAUUGUUUAAGAUAAUCAUCUAUCUUCCCUUUCAGAAGCUGAAAUUCUGAAAGCUGACUUCUGGGCAUUUAUUCU
ensembl:lncRNA